AUCACCGAUGUGGACGAUGACAGCAUUAGGAAUGAAGUUGACGUCAAUCCAGUGCUCAUCUUUGAAGACCUGCAAACCCGGCACAAGGUUAGGGACGAGGAAGGUGAUAGCACACAUGUCAGUGUGCGCCACCACGCCGAGAGCCAGGUCAGGCCGAGGACACGGUGGGUAGUAGUUCAUCUUUAGGCGUAGCUCCAGUCCAUCUCCACCGAGUGCUCCCUUGAGGACAUGCUCCUCCAGUCCCAGUCCCCUCGACAGGGUCGUCAGCAUCUUGUCCACCAGUCCCACCAGGUGUUUGGCAUAUUCCUCGUUUGCUUUCCUGUCAAAACAGCGGCUGAUUCAUCCCUCCGACAUCUCAUAUCUAUGAUAUCUUUUACACAAUCUUAAUCUUAAUCUUUUUCAACAUAUGAAUAUUUUUUUUUACUCUCUAAUUUUUUUUCCGGAUAUCAUAUUAGAAAUCCAUUAACUAUGAAAUUGAAUCAAAUUGGUUAGAUAAUCAAGUCAGAUAUCAACUCAAUAAAAAAACUUAAGCUAUUUGAUUUGGGGAUCCAACUCAAUAUAUAUUAUCUUACUAUAUUUAUAUUUGUUAUCGUAGGACUAUUCUUUUAAUCCUCAUUUCAAUCUCUCCUUAUGUUUCAAUAUUUUUCUAGCGAUGCUGCUAUCAUCGAAUCAUGGACUCAUCAAGCUUCAGUCAUUCAUAGGUUUGGAUCGGUAGUCCUCUCUCCUCUCCAUGGCUCUUGUAAUAUAUUAGUUUCACAUCGAAAAUGGAUAAGAUUAAAAUUAAUUUAUAAGGGUCUGAUGAGUAUACUACUAUAAACUUCAACUUAAAUAUUUUGAUCAGUGGUUUAGACCAAACGAAAUUGAUAAACUAAUUAACUCAGUAAGGCUGUAGUACUAAGUGGUAUCAUAUGCAACGAUACGAAUGAGACAAACAAAAUUGAUGCUAUGCGUGAAGCACGAGGUCCAUAUUCUAAAGGCAAAGCCCCGUCCACAUCGUCUCCUUCCGCAGGCCAAUUCUACCAAAUCUCCGGCGAGUCAACAUCCUCGACAAACAUAACCAUUGCCUUCUGCCGGAGGCACCUACUACGAGUCAUCAUCUCAAUCAACACACAAGAAAACAAUUCCCUAGAUUCAAUGUAGAAAUUGCCUCCAGUAAAGAUAGCUUGAUAUACACAUAGAACAGUGAGAAAGAGAGAGAACUGAUCACUUUACCUGUAAUCAGAAGGGUUCUUGGGCCAGAUGGCGUGGUUGACGCGAGCCGGCGGCGAUACGUAGUGGAAGAAGAAGUCAACCCAGGCCUUUUUGCCCUCCAACUCCCUCUGCAGCUUAGUCCCAUAUCCUUCCGAGCUCCCCGGUUUGAAUUCCAUCGCGUACAUCUCCUUCUCCUCCUGCGGCAACUCGAAGAAUUCCUUGCCGACGCGCUGCAGCUCACGGAUCACCUCCCUCGGGAUCCCGUGGUUCAGCAGUUGGAAGAUUCCCCACUCCCGGCUGGCCUCGGCGACGGCGAUCGUCAACCGAUCCCGGUCGGCGCCCGCGAGGUCGAUGACGGGGAUCUCCGGCGCGGGGCCGCGGUAGGUGGUGAUGCCCGGCUGCUCGUGCUCCGACCGUAUGAACUCCGGAGGCAUAACACCGUCGGCGGCGCAGACGGACGCGAUGACUUGAACCCUCUCCACCUCCAUCUUGCGUGGGUGCUACGCACUAGCCUGAGGCCGUUUCUUACGCUCGAGUUGGUGGAUUGUGAUAAGCUAAGAUAAGAAGGGAGAUUGCCGGUCUGGCACUGGGGUCACUCUUUUCUAGGUUAAGUGUGUCGGCAGUCGAAUUACCACGGCGGAGCACACAUGCGAAGUCUCUGAAAACGACAACAUUUACUGUUGUAUUCUUCUUCAUAUCUAUAUCAACCAUUAUGUCAGUUACCAUCCAAAUGUUUAUUGAUUAUCACCGAUUAGAUCAUGAUAGAUUAUAUUAGAACCGAUCUAAUAUUGAGAUAUUGAUUUAGUUUCGCGUCGAAAAUAAGCAAACAAAUCAGUUGUCUCAUCGGACUCAUGAGCGCUGUUAAACGAUGACGAGGAACGGGAAAAGCAUGUAACGUAACAACGUUUACUGUGGAAGCUUGUUGAGCUUGCAGUAGGCGUAGUCUUUGUACUUCUUGGCCUUGUACUUGGGAGGGCUCUCAUCACCGACGAGCUGUUGCAGAGGGCCAAUUACCAUCUCACCAGGAGGAGAGCAGAAGACUGGCCACGACAUCCUGACCUUCUCUUUGUUCACGGUUGUUCUGUGCAACGCGCUCUUGUAUAUCCCAUUGCUCAAAAUCUACGUAACACAACGCCAAUAGAUGAGUAGGAAGAAGAAUGAAUGAGAUAUGUAUACUUUUAGUUAUUUUGGUGACCUCGAUCUGAUCACCGAUGUGGACGAUGACAGCAUCAGGAACGUAGUUGACGUCGAUCCAGUGCUCAUCGUUGAAGACCUGCAAACCAGGGACAUGGUUGGGGACGAGAAUGGUGAUAGCGGACAUGUCAGUGUGAGCCACCACCCCGAGAGCCAGGUCAGGCCGAGGACACGGCGGGUAGUAGUUGAUCUUUAGGAGUUGCUCCAGUCCAUCUCCGCCAAGUGCUUCCUUGAGGACAUGAUCUCCCAGUCCCAGUCCCCUCGACAGCGCCAUCAGCAUCCUGUCCACAAGACACGCCAGGUGUU
rnacentral:lncRNA from 1 species